rnacentral:rRNA from 1 species
GACGAACGCUGGCGGCGUGCUUAACACAUGCAAGUCGAACGGAAAGGCCCUGCCUUUGUGGCGUGAUCGGGGGGCGGACGGGUGAGUAACACGUAAGCAACCCACCCUAGCCUUUGGGAUAAGUUAAGGCAACGCGAGUUACUACUAGAUAGAAGCCCCUCAUCGGUUGGGGGGGUUGGAUAGUUUCGGCGGUUGUGGAUGGACCCGCGGCUCAUCAGCUUGUUGGUGGGGUAGUGGACUACCAAGGCUUUGACGGGUAGCCGGCCUGAGAGGGUGACCGGCCACAUUGGGACUGAGAGACGGCCCAGACUCCUACGGGAGGCAGCAGUGGGGAAUAUUGCACAAUGGGCGGAAGCCUGAUGCAGCAACGCCGCGUGCGGGAUGACGGCCUUCGGGUUGUAAACCGCUUUCGGCUGUGACGAAGCGUGAGUGACGGUACCGGGAGAAGAAGCACCGGCUAACUACGUG